UACGAAGGGGGCUAGCGUUGCUCGGAAUCACUGGGCGUAAAGCGCACGUAGGCGGAUUGUUAAGUCAGGGGUGAAAGCCUGGAGCUCAACUCCAGAACUGCCCUUGAUACUGGCAAUCUCGAGUCCGGAAGAGGUAAGUGGAACUCCGAGUGUAGAGGUGAAAUUCGUAGAUAUCUGGAGGAACACCGGUGGCGAAGGCGGCGUCCUGGACCAAUACUGACACUGAACAGCGAAAGCCAGGGGAGCAAACGGG
rnacentral:rRNA from 1 species